AUAAAAAAAUUUAUUUAAUUUUAUAUUAAUUUAAAUUCAAAGAAGAAUUUUUAAUUUUAUUAAUUUAAUGAAAAAAUUUAUUUUAUUAUAGAUUAUUGUACUGUGAAGGAUUAUUGAAAUAAUUGAAAUUUAAUAUGUUUAAAAGAAAAAUUAAUUUUUUGUACCUUUUGCAUCAGGGUUUAUUAAAAUUUUAAAUUUAAUUUUUAAUUCUCGAAUUUAGAAGAGCUAAGAUUUUAUAGAUUUUGUUGUUAAAUAAACAUUUAAAAUAAAUUCUUUGUAAUGAAAUGUUAUUCGUUUCUUGAUAUAUCUAGUUUUUUAAGAAAAAAAUUCAAUUUUUUUAAUUUAUUUUGAUUUUUAUAAAUUUUUAUAUUUUUCAAUAAAUUAUUUUAUGAAUUAAGGGAUGAGCUUUGAUUCAAAUUAUUAAAAAUUUUUAAAUAAAAUGAUAUGUAGAAUUAAAAUUUUUUUUCAUUAAUAUUAUGUUAUUAUAGAUCAUUAAGUUUUAUUAUUUUUAUUAUUUUAAAUUUUUUAUUAAAAAAAAUUUUCUAAUUUGUGUUAAAUUGGUAUAAUGAUAAAAUUAGUAUAAUUUAGUGUAAAAUUAAUUUUUAUAUUAAGGUUUAAUUAAGGAAUUCGGCAAAUUACUUUUUACCUGUUUAUUAAAAACAUGUCUUUUUGUUAAUUUAUUUAAAGUCUAGCCUGCUCAAUGAAUUUUUAAAUAGCUGCGGUAUAUUGACCGUACAAAGGUAGCAUAAUCAAUAGUUUUUUAAUUGAAAACUGGAAUGAAGGGUUGAAUAAAAAAGUAACUGUCUCAAUUAAAUUUUAUUAAAAUUUUAUUUUUAAGUUCAAAAUCUUAAAUGUUUUUAAAAGACGAGAAGACCCUAUAGAGUUUAAUUAAUGUAUUAAAUUAAAUAUUAAGUAUUAAUAAUUUUUUUUAUUAUAUUAAUUUGGUUGGGGUGAUUAAUAAAUUUACAUAACUUUAUUUUUAUAUUUUCAAGAAUUAUUGUUUAUUUGAUCCAAUUUAAUUGAUUAAAAGAGUAAAUUACCUUAGGGAUAACAGCGUAAUUCAUUUUAAGAGUUCUAAUCAAAAAGUGAGAUUGCGACCUCGAUGUUGGAUUAAAAUUUAUUUUUGGUGAAGAAGCUAAAAUAUUAGGUCUGUUCGACCUUUAAAAUUUUACAUGAUCUGAGUUUAAACCGGUGUAAGCCAGGUUGGUUUCUAUCUUUAAAUUAUUAAAAUUUUUUAGUACGAAAGGACCGAAAAUUUAAUUUAAAAUUUUUAUUUGAUGAAUACUA
rnacentral:rRNA from 1 species